UGGGGAAUAUUGCACAAUGGGCGAAAGCCUGAUGCAGCGACGCCGCGUGAGGGAUGACGGCCUUCGGGUUGUAAACCUCUUUCAGCAGGGACGAAGCGCAAGUGACGGUACCUGCAGAAGAAGCACCGGCUAACUACGUGCCAGCAGCCGCGGUAAUACGUAGGGUGCAAGCGUUGUCCGGAAUUACUGGGCGUAAAGAGUUCGUAGGCGGUUUGUCGCGUCGUUUGUGAAAACCAGCAGCUCAACUGCUGGCUUGCAGGCGAUACGGGAAGACUUGAGUACUGCAGGGGAGACUGGAAUUCCGGGUGUAGCGGUGAAAUGCGCAGAUAUCAGGAGGAACACCGGUGGCGAAGGCGGGUCUCUGGGCAGUAACUGACGCUGAGGAACGAAAGCGUGGGUAGAGAACAGG
rnacentral:rRNA from 1 species